rnacentral:SRP_RNA from 1 species
GCCGGGAGUGGUGGCCCACACCUAUAGUCCUGGCUACUCAGGAGGCUGAGGCAGGAGGAUCACUUGAGCCUGGGAGAUUGAGGCUGCAGUGAGCUGUGAUCCCACCACUGCACUCCAGCCUGGGCUACAAAGUGAGACCCUGUCUCAA